AAGCCGAGAAAACUAGUGGGAGGAGAGACUGCGGGGUGGGGUGGCAGGAGGAGGCCGCAGAGAAAGGGGGCCCGUAUAAAAAAGCUGAGAAGCGGGAGGCCAACGAAGUGCGGGGAAGGCUUCGGAGCGUGGUUCAGGGCAGAAAAGUCCCUUAAUUUGUCCAGAGCUGAAUUCUAGGUUCAGGAAAGGGAGGGAGCAAAUGGGGUUCCGUCUUAGAACUGGGUCAGAGGUACAUAGAGUUCAAAAAGUGUCUUCCUGCCAGAGAAACAGAAGCAUUUCGCUUUUCGAGAAAGAAUGGAAGUGAAGGAGCAUGGGAUGACAAUAAUGUAAUUAUUAUAAAUGAUUAUCUCAGCUCCAAAGAAAUGAUUAAUCAGUUCUUGAGUGGGGAAUCUGGUGGAGCAGAAAAGAAAGGGUGGUUUAGUUCUGAAACGGGAUUUGGUUUGACAGCUUGGCUCAUCUGGGAACCUUCGGUUUUCAGGGAGACUGAAACUAUAUCAAGGAACGUAGAAUAAAAGGUAGACUCAUGAACAUUGACUUUGGCCAAGGCAAGGGAGAUCUGCAGUUCCUUCAAUGAUAUUCUUCUGUUUGUGAGUUUCUGGAUAAUUUUAUGCUAUGCUAUUGAAGCAGUUUUCAAAAGAGAAUAAUCAUUUGGAAGAUUUAUUAUUGUCCCAGAUUUUCUGUAUUUCAAGACUGUAUCUUUGAAAUAGAUCAAUGAAAACUCAGAACUUUAAAAAUAAUUAAUGUAAUCUUUUCCAGAAUAUAUUUUUUUUACAGAAGUCUUCAGAAAUUUCUUGUGACAUGGCAGAAGAUACCUCUAGAAUCUGUGUAGUGAGAACAUCAUUGUACUGAGAGGUGUCAAAGUCAGUGGGAUAUAUAGUGGGGUGAGCUGGCCGGGAUCAGUCCUUUUUGUACUGAAUAAAGUACUUACACAACUUGUUUAUUAACAUUUUAAUUGACUUGAUUGAACUAUAUGCCUGCAUAUGUAUAAUUGUUUUUCCAGAGUAUCGUACUGAAUUUUAAGUUACAUUGUUUAUGAAAUAAACAAGCAUCAAACUUUG